GGAUCUUAUUUCUAACCCUUUAAUAAUGUAAUUUCCUAGGCACAUGAGAGUUGGUAAAUGCUCAUUUGUGAACAGCCAGAAAUAUUUCUUAUCAUUAGGUAGUUCUUUAAAAUUAGUACAAAAAGUUAUAACUUUAUCAUAUAAUAAUUUCCUCUGUUCAUCAUAUAAUGGACAAUUUACUGUAAAAUGGGUCUCAUCUUCAAUAGAAUUUGAUCCAUGUGAUAAGCAAUGAUGACAUAGACGUUGAGUUCUCUCUAUGUAUUUUUUAUUAUAUCUAUCUUUCUCAAUUUUAAGAUCAUGAGCACUUAUUCUCAUUUUACAUAUAGCUCUUCUUAUACUAAAAUCUUUAAUUGAUAAAUAGGCCUCCUUUACAAAGUCAGUCUUGAGGUUGAAAUAAUUCUCUAAUUUACUAUUACCUUGUGAUAAGGUUUCAGAUCUUUUGACCAACCAAAAUGUUUUGAAACUAUUACAAAGUUUACAUUUUACAAAUUUAAUUAAUUUAUUGAGCUUUGUAUCUAAAUUUUGUAUAUCAAGUGAUUGAAGUACAUAUUUCAU
rnacentral:lncRNA from 1 species